rnacentral:tRNA from 1 species
GGGCUCAGCGGAAGAGCAUCUGCGUUCCCUGCAGAAAGUCCCUGGUUCGAUCCCGGCCAUCUCCA